rnacentral:rRNA from 1 species
GUAGGUGGCAAGCGUUGUCCGGAAUUAUUGGGCGUAAAGCGCGCGCAGGCGGUCCUUUAAGUCUGAUGUGAAAGCCCACGGCUCAACCGUGGAGGGUCAUUGGAAACUGGGGAACUUGAGUGCAGAAGAGGAAAGCGGAAUUCCACGUGUAGCGGUGAAAUGCGUAGAGAUGUGGAGGAACACCAGAGGCGAAGGCGGCUUUCUGGUCUGUAACUGACGCUGAGGCGCGAAAGCGUGGGGAGCAAACAGGAUUAGAUACCCUGGUAGUCCACGCCGUAAACGAUGAGUGCUAAGUGUUAGAGGGUUUCCGCCCUUUAGUGCUGCAGCUAACGCAUUAAGCACUCCGCCUGGGGAGUACGGCCGCAAGGCUG